GACGAACGCUGGCGGCGCGCCUAACACAUGCAAGUCGAACGGAGCUGAGAGAAGCUUGCUUUUCUUAGCUUAGUGGCGAACGGGUGAGUAACGCGUGAGUAACCUGCCCUGGAGUGGGGGACAACAGUUGGAAACGACUGCUAAUACCGCAUAAGCCCACGAUCCGGCAUCGGCUUGAGGGAAAAGGAUUUAUUCGCUUCAGGAUGGACUCGCGUCCAAUUAGCUAGUUGGUGAGGUAACGGCCCACCAAGGCGACGAUUGGUAGCCGGACUGAGAGGUUGAACGGCGACAUUGGGACUGAGACACGGCCCAGACUCCUACGGGAGGGAGCAGUGGGGGAUAUUGCACAAUGGGGGAAACCCUGAUGCAGCGACGCCGCGUGGAGGAAGAAGGUUUUCGGAUUGUAAACUCCUGUCGUUAGGGACGAUAAUGACGGUACCUAACAAGAAAGCACCGGCUAACUACGUG
rnacentral:rRNA from 1 species